GAACUACUGGCCAAUGGGAGCUGAAAGCAGCGCUGGGAAAAUGUGUAAAAAUCAGUUCUGGGAAUGAGGAAUUGGCUUUUCCUGCCUGGAGAAACCGAGACCCUGCUCUGCUGCAGCUCUGCACUGCUGCUGAGAGAGGAGGGGUUCACACCUCCUGCAGGAGCUGGUGCUGCUGUUUGUGAACCAUCUCAGCCUUUGCUGUGCUCCAGACCCCACCAAGCCCUGCUCCCCCCUCAGCCUGAGCCAUGCUCAGCUCCUCCUCUCUGGAAACCUUCAGGAUUUUCCAGCUGCAGGACUGGAACCCCCUUUGUCCCCCAGAAAUGCUCCCCCAGAGCCUGGGCACCCUCGCUGGCUCUCAUCACCAGCGUUUCCCUCGUGUGACCCUUCUGAGCCCUUCUCCUCCUCCAGCAGCCUGGCCUUGGCAUUCAGCCUGAUCUCACCCCUGUCCAGCCCAGGGCUUUGCCCUCAGGUGUCCAGCACACUCCCAGGAGCAGGACAGGAGCAUCCCCUCCCCUCCAGAGGGAAAUCCCAGCAGAGCUGGAGCUCCUUCCCUGUGAUCCAGCAGAAACCUCUGAGCUCUUUGGACACAAACUUCUGUCAACGUGGUGUAAAAAACCAGGGAAACACCAAAUCCUCAUUCUGUCAUCUCUGCCUGUGCUGCUCUCUCACUUCCUGCUCUCCCCAUGUACCUAAUUUGUCUUUAUUACCAGAGCAAAGCAAGGCUGAUAUUUACACUUCCAGCAAUGCAUGCAAGAGACAAAAAAUAAAUGCUGGGGUUUGACUCAUAAAUAAAGCAUGUUUUGUAGUCA
rnacentral:lncRNA from 1 species